UGGAGAUUGAUCAUCUCCAUAGGGUAUGGCUGAAUAACUGUUGUGGUCAUCACGCAGUAAGGCUGAAGUAGAACAGGCUGUGGUGGCCGCCAAGGAAUACCGGGAGACCGGAGUCUUGUGAAUCCUUAACCGGGAGUUCGAAAAGAUCAGAGGUUUACUAAGCAUUAGUGAGACCCCUCUGUUGAAGGUAUAAUGUAAUCCUUCUACCCACCUU
rnacentral:ncRNA from 1 species